CUUUGAUCCAAUAUUGUUUGUUUCCAGGUGCUGAGCCAAACUGUGAUUGUCCUGCUCAUGCAGCUGUGCGAGCACUUGGUCCGAGUCCCAGAACACCGACGUCUCAUCACCCUCUGCUGGUCCACAUGCUGCUCCACUUCUGCUGCCAGGGGCUGAAGACAUCGCCAG